rnacentral:rRNA from 1 species
ACUGGAAUGAAUGGCUUAAUGAGGACUAAACUGUCUCUUACGACCUGGCCAAUGAAAUUGAUCUCCCAGUACAAAAGCUGGAAUACACCCAUAAGACGAGAAGACCCUGUGGAGCUUCAAAACCAAACCACCCAACAUGGUUCCUUGGAUUUUUAGUUGGGGCGACUUCGGAACAUAACAAAACUUCCAAAGCAUGAAAUUAAUUUCAUCAAGAUUAACACACCAAAAUUCCCACACGAACCCAGCAAUUACCAUUUGACUGAUCAAUGAACCAAGUUACCCCAGGGAUAACAGCGCAAUCCCCUUUUAGAGUCCAUAUCGACAAGGGGGUUUACGACCUCGAUGUUGGAUCAGGACACCCCAAUGGUGCAGCCGCCAUUAAAG